AUCAAGACUGAUUAGUUCAUUGUUUUUAACUAUUUUAUGUAAUAUCUCGUGAAUAACGUUGAUUAGUUCACCUCCGAGUCUUUUGAACCGAGUCUCUUUCGUUCAUUCACGUCACGUGACGGCAUACAUUCAGUUAACGUUAGUUUGGUUUUACUUAAGUAACAUGAUAUACAGUUAAGUCCCAUGUAGCCCAGUUAAACUGUAAAUCCAGUGGUCAAUAAUACUGAAGUGAUACAUUGUCUAUCUCCUCAAUGUAGAUCGUCCUGCUGUAAAAACCAGCAUUGACCAGCAUGAAUUCCCUUUCACUCACUGUUUCCCAACCUGCAGUCGGUUCAGCACGAAACAUCAGGCUCACAGCAACAGAUUAAGAAGAAUCCUGCAUCAAAAGAUGACUUCAACUUGCAUGUGAGACAGAGUGAGAAGAGAAAAAGAGGAAUGAAGAUGGACUGUCUAAGAAACCUGUUUUGUUCAUAACGGAACUUGCAUCUAUCUCCCACGAAUGUAGAAUGCUGAAGGCGAGCAGAAAUGAGAAAAGUUAUGCUACAGCUCUCUGUUUGCAGCACGUCAGUCACGCUCGUCGGGAAAGUGAGUGAAACACACACACAAACACACAUUUUUAUCAAAUAAUACGGCAUUAAUAGCGAUUCACUUCCACAACUUGGAGCGUUUGCAUUUAUAUCAGAAGCGAACUGUACCUGAGUUCACUUGAACCGCACCCCAGACCACCCUUUUUAAGCGGACUCGGGUACGGUUCGUGGGUGUCCGCAGUUACACACAGCACACAGUUACUCCUCGUGUUUGCUGGAUAAUGAUAUAAUGAUAUUAUAUUUAAUCUUUCAAAAUCACUGUGCAAUAAUGAGUGUGUUAAGUGAAUAAAUGUAAACUCUAUGAAUGAAAUGAGCGCAAAUCAAAUAGCUGUAUUGCUGUUGCCUCUUCAUGUGCCACAAAUCAGCUUGGAAAGAAUAAAUCAACUGAAAUACUUAGUGCUUUUUCCAGUUUAACGCAUUAAAAUAUUUAACACAGUUAAUGCAGCAUACGUUUUUUUUGUUUUGUUUGUUUCAUCCUUUGGCUAGCAUUACAAUAUAUGAUUACGCUCUUAUUUCUGCGAAUGCUUUUAAACCAUUUAAGCGCACCAAAAGAGAAAAAGAGAACGCACUGUCUGUGAAUGUCCUGUCACACACACGACGCACAGAAAGACAUGCACCAGUAUAGUGAGCAUGGACGGCCCACCAGUAUCGAGUUCUCUGUCAUGCUUGAAGAAACAA